CCUACGGGAGGCAGCAGUGGGGAAUAUUGCACAAUGGGGGAAACCCUGAUGCAGCGACGCCGCGUGAGUGAAGAAGUACUUCGUUAUGUAUAGCUCUAUCAGCAGGGAAGAAAGUGACGGUACCUGAGUAAGAAGCCCCUGCUAACUACGUGCCAACAGCCGCGGUAAUACGGAGGGGGAAAGCGUAAUCCGGACUUACUGGGGGGAAGGGGAGCGGUGACGGCAGUGCAAGUCGGGAGUGAAAGGCGGGGGCUCAACCCCCGGACUGCUCUGGAAACUGUACGGCUGGAGUGCAGGAGAGGUGAGUGGAAUUCCUAGUGUAGCGGUGAAAUGCGUAGAGAUUAGGAGGAACACCAGUGGCGAAGGCGGCUUACUGGACUGUAACGGACGUUGAGGUGCGAAAGCGUGGGGAGCAAACAGGAUUAGAUACCCGGGUAGUC
rnacentral:rRNA from 1 species